CCAAUAGCGUAUAUUAAAGUUGUUGCAGUUAAAAAGCUCGUAGUUGAAUUUCGGGAUCAGUACGCCGGUCGUGCCUCGGUAUGUACUGGUGUUACUGGUUCCUACCUUCUGACGAACCGUCAUGUCAUUAAUUUGGUGUGGCGGGGAAUCAGGACUGUUACUUUGAAAAAAUUAGAGUGUUUAAAGCAGGCUCGCGCUUGAAUACAUUAGCAUGGAAUAAUGAAAUAGGACGUUCGAUCCUAUUUUGUUGGUUUCUAGGAUUGACGUGAUGAUUAAUAGGGAUAGUUGGGGGCAUUAGUAUUCGAUUGUCAGAGGUGAAAUUCUUGGAUUUAUUGAAGACUAACUACUGCGAAAGCAUUUGCCAAGGAUGUUUUCAUUAAUCAAGAACGAAAGUUAGGGGAUCGAAGACGAUCAGUUACCGUCGUAGUCUUAGCCAUAAACUAUGCCGACUAGGGAUCGGAUGAUGUUAUUUUUAAUGACUCAUUCGGCGCCUUAC
rnacentral:rRNA from 1 species